GGAAUUGACGGGGCCGCACAAGCGGUGGAGCAUGUGGUUUAAUUCGACGCAACGCGAAGAACCUUACCAGGGCUUGACAUCCCCUGACCGCGUAUGAAAGUACGUUUUCACCCUCGGGUGACAGGGAGACAGGUGGUGCAUGGUUGUCGUCAGCUCGUGUCGUGAGAUGUUGGGUUAAGUCCCGCAACGAGCGCAACCCCUACGUUUAGUUGCUAACGCGUGAAGGCGAGCACUCUAGACGAACUGCCGUUGACAAAACGGAGGAAGGUGGGGAUGACGUCAAAUCAUCAUGCCCCUUAUGUUCUGGGCUACACACGUGCUACAAUGGCCGGUACAGACGGACGCAAAGCCGCGAGGUGGAGCGAAUCCCAGAAAACCUGUCUCAGUCCGGAUUGAAGUCUGCAACUCGACUUCAUGAAGGCGGAAUCGCUAGUAACCGCGAAUCAGCAGGUCGCGGUGAAUACGUUCCCGGGCCUU
rnacentral:rRNA from 1 species